rnacentral:lncRNA from 1 species
UUUCAAUACUUCACAAUUUCUACUGUGUUAACUGGGUGCUGACCCCUGGCCCCUAAAAUGCUAAAAACAGAGGGACCUUCUCAUUCUCUCUUACUUAUUCCUUAAUCUAUCUAACAGUUUGUCUCAGGGAGGUUUUACUCAUUGCAGAUGGCCACAUGGUAGCAGGUGUCUUAUAUGGUAGGAGCAGGAUAAAGACAGAGAGAAAGGCGGUGCCACACGUUUUUAAACAACCAGAUCUCGCGAGAUUCUUCAGUCUCUUAGCUGUUCAAAAUACUAAUAUUCAUUACUGAAGAUCUCACUUUUUACCAGUGUAAGAUAAUGGCAACAUAUAUAAAAUCCUAAUGUCUUCUCUUGUCCUGACACCAGAAAGUCAGCAGCACAGAGAUUUUUAAUUUUUUUUCCCACUGUUUCGGUUUAAAUCUCCUUACGUCUUGGAAGCAAGCACAUGUGUAGAGCUUCUCAGAAUUAAUUUAAAAAAUACUGUCUUCUCUUAGGUUUGCUAUUUUAAAAAAUGAGGCUGAGGGAAAAAU